rfam:Picea glauca, whole genome shotgun sequence.
AGAGUAAUGAUUAAUAGGGACUGUCGGGGGCAUUCGUAUUUAAUUGUCAGAGGUGAAAUUCUUGGAUUUAUGAAAGACGAACCACUGCGAAUGCAUUUUCCAAGGAUGAUUUCAUUAAUCAAGAAUGAAAGUUGGGGGCUCGAAGAUGAUCAGAUACCGUCCUAGUAUCAACCAUAAAUGAUGCUGACCAAGGAUCGACGGAUGUUUCUCUAAGGACUCCGCCAGCACCUUCUGAGAAAUCAGAGUGUUUGGGUUCCGAGGGGAGUAUGGUCGCAAGGCUGAAACUUAAAGGAAUUGACGAAAGGGCACCACCAGGAGUGGAGCCUGCAGCUUAAUUUGACUCAACACGGGAAAACUUACUAGAUCCAGACAUAGUAAGGAUUGACAUAUUGAGAGCUCUUUCUUGAUUCUAUGGGUGGUGGUGCAUGGCCGUUCUUAGUUGGUGGAGUGAUUUGUCUGGUUAAUUCCGAUAACGAAUGAGACCUCAGCCUACUAACUAGCUACGUGGAGGUUCCCCUUCCCAACCAGCUUCUUAGAGGGACUAUGGUCGUUUAGGCCUUGGAAGUUUGAGGUAAUAAUAGGUCUGUGAUGCCCUUAGAUGUUCUGGGCUGCACGCUCACUACACUGAUGCAGUCAACGAGUUUUUCUCCUUGGUUCGAGAGGAUCGGGAAUUCUUCUCAAAUUGCAUUGUGAUGGGGAUAGACCAUUGCAAUUAUUGGUAUUCAACGAGGAAUUCCUAGUAAGCGCAUGUCAUCAGGUCAUGUUGACUACGUCCCUGCCCUUUUUACACACCUCCCGUCGCUCCUACCGAUUGAAUGAUCCGGUGAAGUGUUCGGAUCACGUCAAUGAGGGUGGUUCACCACCAACGAUGUCAUGAGAAGUUCACUAAACCUUAUCAUUUGGAGGAAGGAGAAGUCGUAACAAGGUUACCGUAGGUGAACCUGCGGUAGGAUCAUUG